GUUUUUUUCGUUUUUUU
rnacentral:sRNA from 1 species